AUUUUUAUUUUUUUUGUUCUUUAAAAUUUUUAUUUUUAACUUUCAAUAUAAGAUUGUUAUCAGUUAUGGUUACUAAAUUUAUUUUAUUUACCUUUUGUAUAAGGGGGGGUAGAAUUUAACUAUUUUUAUAUUUUUUAGAAUUGGGGCUGAUCUUAAGAAUUUUUUUAGCAUUGUUAUUUCUUUAAAAUUUUCUUACAGUGAUACGCUUUGGUAGCCUAGGGUAUCUAGAUUAUUAUCUAUUCAGGGUAAUCCUGUUAUUCUUUUGUCAAAUCUAUUUUGUAAUAAUAACUUUAAAAGUAUGUGGUUGUUUAAUAACACUAUACUAUCUUGACAAGAUUUUUAUAAUUCCCAUCAUCUUAUAAAUUACUCUAUUAGUAGAAAAAAUUUUUUUUUGUUUAAUUUUUAUUUAAUUUUUUUAUUUACAUUGUUUAAUUUUACUAAUAAUAUCUUAAUAUGUUUAUUAAAAUCUUAUCAAAAAUUUUUUUGGAGACCUCUGCCCAAUGCUUAGUUAAUGGCUGACUUUGUCACUAAGGUAGCGAGAUCAAUAGCCUUUUAAUUGAGGGCUCGUAUGAGUGGGGUUUUUAAGAUACUUUUAUUCCUUAUAUUAAAUUUAUAUUUGUGUUGAUAAUAACACUAUUUUCUCAAAGACAAAAAGACCCUAAGAUUUUUAUAGUUUUACUAUUUGGUUGGGGAAAUAUUAAAAUUAUAAUGUUUUCAUAUUUUAAUUAUUAGAACUUUUUAAAAGAUAGGUUGUAAAAUACCUUAGGGAUAACAGCUUAAUUUGUUUUUAUAGUUCUUAUGGUUAGACAAGUUUGAGACCUCGAUGUUGGAUUAAAAUAGUUCUUUAAGGUGAAGCUGCCUAAAAAGAUAGAUUGUUCAUCUAUUAAAUUUUUACAUGAUCUGAGUUAAAGUCGGCGUAAGCCAGACUGGAUUUUAUCUUGAGAUUUAAUGGGAUGUGUUUCAGUACGAAAGGACAAAUCACUAAAGAUACUCUUCUAU
rnacentral:rRNA from 1 species